rnacentral:lncRNA from 1 species
GAACAAACGGCAUGACCUUAAUCAGGGAGCCUGAACCACUCACUGAAGGGAAGUGUGAUGGCAGAUUAAAUCCCUGGCAGGAAACAGUGAUAAUGCCCACUGUAGAGCUGCUUGCUGCAAAGGUUUUCCUUCUCCAAUGUCUUUCCAUCACUUCUUGAACUGAUCCUGCUACUAUUAAAGACACAAAUUCUCUCCUGAAUCAACGAUUUAGAAAAGACUUUGGGAUCAAAGGCACCUGAUGACAUUACUGACAAAAAGCAGAAGAACCUUUUGUGGGGCUGCUUUGUAUUUCAUAACCUGACCAAAACUGACCUGGUCCCCCUUUUCUGUGGCACUGAGAUACAAUGUCAGUUUUUUCUUGGGCUGAAAACCAAAUGAUGAGGAAUCUGUGACCAGGAUGGACACUUCACUGACCACUUUGCAAACAAAGCCAAAAUAUCUGGUCAUCUGAAUCAUCAGCAGUGUUUAUGACUGAAGAAACAAACAUCAGUACUGUACCAAUUUCAAAUGAUGUUUAGCAGUUCUGAGAAGCAAAUCUCAUUGUUUGUCAAAUAAGAAUGAAGAAAAAAAGGGACAUUAUUUAAUUUUGACUGUUUUUAAUUGGUUUUAACAAAUGAUAAAAUAUUUCUAAAAUAAUAAUCUGACAGCUGUUUAAAAUUCACUUGACAAGAUCCUUUUAAAUUUACUCAUGACACAGUGAUUGCAAAUGUAUAUCAAACAGCUGCUUUCAUAUGCAGGUAAGCUGCUAUUGAAAACAGAUUUAAUCCUAACUGUUUAUGCCUGCUUUUGAUGAUAGUGCAGUAGAGUAUUGUGUUAUUUAAUAAUGCAUUCCAGCACCUGUUUAGAGAGGGUAUAUUCCACUAUGGUCCAAAAUGAAAACAACCCCAUUACUUGUCGAGGUUUCAUUCAUAAUUCUUGUAUCAUGCUCUGAUUAGAGCAUACAUUGAACCUCAGAUGAGCAUUACCUAAGGCACAUUGAGUUAAAUGCACUGUAUAAACUAGGCACAAACCACAAAGCUACCUUUAACUUGCACUAAACAGUAAGUAGAAAUUGAUUAAAAUAUGCAUUCUACUAAUAUAAUGGCUGGUCUCAGUAUAGAAAUUAAUUAAUGCUAAUAGUACACAAUCAAAACUGCUUUUAGAAAUC